AGAUCUCAAGAAUGUCCCAUCACAUGUAUUUGGACAGCAUGAAAGAUGUCAGGAGAUAUCAUAUUUCAAGUGUUCUCCAAGAUUAGAUGGAGUUGAUCAUAUACCCAGCAUGAGAGCAUGUGGUCUAUUGGACGAUAUUGAAGUUUGUAUUAACCGCUUAGUUUUCAAUGCGGCCAGCUUAAUAGCGGACUUGGAUACCAAUAUCGCUGAACAAUACAACAGCAUCAUCUGCAAGUUUGUUGGAGGUAAAAGAAUAAACUAUUCUCGUAAAAGAUCGUAUGCGACACGUUGUAAAGCUGCUGCUAUUUCAUUCAACUCUGAUGGGGACUAUUAUGAUGUUGUUGAAAAACACAAAGUUCCAUUUUAUACCAAAAGAUAUGUAGAAAAGAUGAAAAGGAGACGCCAACUUCAGAAAAUCACGAGACGCAAAAAUAAAGACCUUCCACCAAAAUUUAAGAAGAAAUAUGCUCUGCCAGAUAAGGAUUACGGCCCAGACGCUAUCCCUGAUCCUGAUUUAUCUACCGAUCAAUUCGAGCGAAAAAAAAACAAUUUCCCAAAUCAAUAAAAAAAAACUGCCGAAGAGAUAAAACUCAUUGAACUCAAUACAAGAGGUCAAUCCAAUCUGGCAAUCCUUUAUGGCAACAGGAGAGAAGUAUUCGCUUAACAGCUUCACAUUUUGGUGACAUUUGCAAGAUGUGAAAAACAACAUCUUGUGUCAAUAAGGUGAAAAACUUACUUUAUGCCACCUUCAGAGGAAACGAAAACACCAAGUAUGGAAGAGAACAUGAGCCACUCGCAAUUAGACAACUAGAGAAUGAUUUUGAUGUCGAAGUUGAACCUUGUGGAAUGUUCAUUGAUGAAUACGACUAUAUUUUUGGAGCCAGUCCUGAUGGGUUGAUAGGAGAUGACGCCAUUGUUGAGGUGAAGUGCCCCAAAACUGCGCCAAAAAUGCACCCCAAAGAAGCAAUCGAGCAAAAAAUAAUAAAUUUCUGUACUCUAGAUGAGAAUCUACACUUACAGCUAAAACAAAAUCAUAAUUAUUACUAUCAAGUACAAGGACAGCUACACAUUACUCAGCGUUCCCUGUGUUAUUUUGUAAUUUGGACUCCGUUGGGAAUUUCAGUUGAAAAGGACGAUUCAUUCUGGACGAAUAAAAUGAAACCAAAGUUGGAAAAUUUUUACAACAAUUGCCUCCUGCCCGAAUUGAUAGAUCCUAGAUACCCGAGGAAAUUGGACAUUCGCAAUCCACCACGCCAGUUAACAUACCGUUGAAAAGUCUAGUUCACAAAUGCUUUUUAGGUCAAAACUUUUUGCCGGCUCCUUAAAGUGUCAUUCGAUUCAGAAUUUUUUUCUAUUUGAUAAUAUAGGUGCAUUUUCGAAACUAGAAGGAAUUUUAUUACGACCAAUGUAGGACAACCUUUGUUGAAGAUGAAAUGAUUCUGGCAAUAGCCUCAUGAUAAUAAUAGAAUAAUAAAACAUCGUUCACCAUUGAAAAUAUUUAAACGAUUAAUUAAUCUCCAAAAGUAAAACAAUUACGCUCCGUCUAUGGAGUUUGCCGUGCCCCCUCUGUAGUGUGUGUAUUCGAGUCGCAACAACAUUAACUUGUCGAUUUGCAUAAUGAAUAUAUCCAUCAAGAUAGAUGGAUAUGUAUGUCUGUGAUUGUAAAAAUAGGACCGCCUACCAUAUUCUCAGACAUUUACCGUUAGAUGCAGUUCGAGGGUCCAGUUGCAGGUAUGGUGCGCUCUUAAAACAAGUCAUACACUGCAGAGCCUUUUAGAAAAUCCAAAUGACAAAGUCGAGAAUUCAGAAAAGU